AUUGAACGCUGGCGGCAGGCCUAACACAUGCAAGUCGAGCGGAUGAAGGGAGCUUGCUCCUGGAUUCAGCGGCGGACGGGUGAGUAAUGCCUAGGAAUCUGCCUGGUAGUGGGGGAUAACGUCCGGAAACGGGCGCUAAUACCGCAUACGUCCUGAGGGAGAAAGUGGGGGAUCUUCGGACCUCACGCUAUCAGAUGAGCCUAGGUCGGAUUAGCUAGUUGGUGGGGUAAAGGCCUACCAAGGCGACGAUCCGUAACUGGUCUGAGAGGAUGAUCAGUCACACUGGAACUGAGACACGGUCCAGACUCCUACGGGAGGCAGCAGUGGGGAAUAUUGGACAAAGGGCGAAAGCCUGAUCCAGCCAUGCCGCGUGUGUGAAGAAGGUCUUCGGAUUGUAAAGCACUUUAAGUUGGGAGGAAAGGCAGUAAGUUAAUACCUUGCUGUUUUGACGUUACCAACAGAAUAAGCACCGGCUAACUUCGUG
rnacentral:rRNA from 1 species